rnacentral:rRNA from 1 species
UAUUCCAGUACCACCAUAAUGCGUUUGACAAAUGGGAUGACGCAGGAGGAUAGGAUGUGCGCACUAUUGGAUGUGCGUCUAAGCACUUAGGGUGUUAAGUAGGCAAAUCCGCUUAACAUUAAGCCUGAGGUGUGAUGGGGAGCCUAUUUUGGCGAAGUAUCUGAUUCCACGCUGCCAAGAAAAGUCUCUAUGGAGCAAAAUGGUGCCCGUACCGCAAACCGACACAGGUAGAUGAGGAGAGAAUCCUAAGGUCGUCGGAAGAAUUAUUGCUAAGGAACUCGGCAAAUUGACCCCGUAACUUAGGGAGAAGGGGUGCCUACGAGAGUAGGCCGCAGUGAAUAGGCUCAAGCAACUGUUUAUCAAAAACACAGGUCUCUGCUAAAGCGUAAGCUGAUGUAUAGGGGCUGACGCCUGCCCGGUGCUGGAAGGUUAAGGGGAAUAGUUAGCGCAAGCGAAGCUAUGAACUUAAGCCCCAGUAAACGGCGGCCGUAACUAUAACGGUCCUAAGGUAGCGAAAUUCCUUGUCGGGUAAGUUCCGACCCGCACGAAUGGCGUAAUGAUUUGAGCACUGUCUCGGCAAUAAAUCCGGUGAAAUUGUAGUGCAAGUGAAGAUGCUUGCUACCCGCGGUUGGACGGAAAGACCCCGUAGAGCUUUACUGUAGCUUAGCAUUGAAUUUCGGUAUUGUCUGUACAGGAUAGGUGGGAGACUUAGAAGCGAGGGCGUCAGCUUUCGUGGAGUCGUCCUUGGGAUACCACCCUGACAGUACUGGAAUUCUAACUGGAGGCCAUGAAUCUGGUCACAGGACAUUGCUAGGUGGGCAGUUUGACUGGGGCGGUCGCCUCCUAAAAGGUAACGGAGGCGCCCAAAGGUUCCCUCAGCGCGGUCGGAAAUCGCGCGUAGAGUGCAAAGGCAGAAGGGAGCCUGACUGCGACACAUACAGGUGGAGCAGGGACGAAAGUCGGGCUUAGUGAUCCGGUGGGUCUGUAUGGAAGGGCCAUCGCUCAACGGAUAAAAGCUACCUCGGGGAUAACAGGCUGAUCUCCCCCAAGAGUCCACAUCGACGGGGAGGUUUGGCACCUCGAUGUCGGCUCGUCGCAUCCUGGGGCUGU